rnacentral:rRNA from 1 species
UCCAGACUCCUACGGGAGGCAGCAGUGGGGAAUAUUGCACAAUGGGGGGAACCCUGAUGCGGCGACGCCGCGUGGGUGAAGGAGCGUUUCGGCGCGUAAAGCCCUAUCGGCAGGGAAGAAGGAGGACGGUACCUGACUAAGAAGCCCCGGCUAACUACGUGCCAGCAGCCGCGGUAAUACGUAGGGGGCAAGCGUUAUCCGGAUUUACUGGGUGUAAAGGGGGCGCAGACGGCAGCGCAAGCCAGGAGUGAAAGCCCGGGGCCCAACCCCGGGACUGCUCUUGGAACUGCGCGGCUGGAGUGCAGGAGGGGCAGGCGGAAUUCCUGGUGUAGCGGUGAAAUGCGUAGAUAUCAGGAGGAACACCGGUGGCGAAGGCGGCCUGCUGGACUGCGACUGACGUUGAGGCCCGAAAGCGUGGGGAGCAAACAGGAUUAGAUACCCCAGUAAC